ACACAUGCAAGUCGAACGAGCAAAUACAUUUGAUUUCUUCGGAAUGAAGAUGUAGGCGCGAGUGGCGGACGGGUGAGUAACGCGUGAGUAAUCUGCCUCAUACAGGAGAAUAACACUAAGAAAUUGGUGCUAAUACUCCAUAAGCUCACAUUAUGACAUCAUAGAGUGAGAAAAGAUUUAUCGGUAUGAGAGGAGCUCGCGUCUGAUUAGCUAGUUGGUGGGGUAACGGCCUACCAAGGCGACGAUCAGUAGCCGACCUGAGAGGGUGAUCGGCCACAUUGGAACUGAGACACGGUCCAAACUCCUACGGGAGGCAGCAGUGGGGAAUAUUGCACAAUGGGGGAAACCCUGAUGCAGCAACGCCGCGUGAAGGAAGAAGUAUUUCGGUAUGUAAACUUCUAUCGACAGGGAAGAAACAAAUGACGGUACCUGAAUAAGAAGCACCGGCUAAAUACGUGCCAGCAGCCGCGGUAAUACGUAUGGUGCAAGCGUUAUCCGGAUUUACUGGGUGUAAAGGGUGAGUAGGCGGUCAUGCAAGUCAUAUGUGAAAUGUCAGGGCUUAACCUUGGCGCUGCAUAAGAAACUGUAUGACUAGAGUGCAGGAGAGGUAAGCGGAAUUCCUAGUGUAGCGGUGAAAUGCGUAGAUAUUAGGAAGAACACCGGUGGCGAAGGCGGCUUACUGGACUGUUACUGACGCUGAGUCACGAAAGCGUGGGGAGCAAACAGGAUUAGAUACCCUGGUAGUCCACGCCGUAAACGAUGAGUGCUAGGUGUUGGCCCGAGAUGGUCGGUGCCGCA
rnacentral:rRNA from 1 species